rnacentral:rRNA from 1 species
GACGAACGCUGGCGGCGUGCUUAACACAUGCAAGUCGAACGGGCCUGUCUUCUUUUUUGGGGGUGGGUUGAGUGGCGAACGGGUGAGUAUCACGUGAGUAACCUGCCCUUCGGUCCUGGAUAACCGCUUGAAAGGGCGGCUAAUACGGGGUGGUCCGGUUGGUCCGCAUGGGCUGGUCGGGAUAGAUUCACUGUUUUUGGUGUUUCGGCGGGGGAUGGGCUCGCGGCCUAUCAGCUUGUUGGUGGGGUGAUGGCCUACCAAGGCGGUGACGGGUAGCCGGCCUGAGAGGGUGGGCGGCCACACUGGGACUGAGAUACGGCCCAGACUCCUGCGGGAGGCAGCAGUGGGGGGGAUUGCACAAGGGGCGGAAGCCUGAUGCAGCGACGUCGCGUGAGGGAUGGAGGCCUUCGGGUUGUGAACCUCUGUUUCCGGUGGUGAAGGCCCUGUCCGUGUGGUGGGGUUGACGGUAGCCGGGGAUGAAGCGCCGGCUAACUACGUG